UUAAUCUCUUCACCCCGCCAGUGAGAUCAGGUCUCCUAUUAAUUGCUUGGAGAAACCUCAAAACGUUUGUGCUCUGCCUCUCCUCAAGCAAUUUUCUGCAUGCUUGAACUAUAUCUGAUUCCGGAGCUUCUGCAGUACCACGAACUUCCUUGCUGAAGUACCGCUGAAGCAAAAACUCCUCAACCAAUCCACACAUGCCAUAGAAAUAUAGCAAAUUCG
rnacentral:misc_RNA from 1 species